rnacentral:rRNA from 1 species
GGGAGCUGCGGACUGCUCAGUAACAGGCGAUUAAUUUAAUCUUUACAAACGGACAAACUCAGGAAACGGAGUGUAAUACGUAAAAGAUGUUUUUUUAAAAAAUUACAAAGAAAACAUUUUUAGCUUGAAUAAAGCGGUAAAGAAUAAGACGCCAACCCAUCAGUUAGUAAGUAGGGUAAGGGCCUAUUUAGACGAAUACGGGUACGGGGAAUUAGGGUUUGAUUCCGGAGAGGGAGCCUGAGAGACGGCUACCAGGUCCAAGGACGGCAGCAGGCGCGAAAAUUACCGAAGCUCAAAUAGAGGCGGUAGUAAUGAGACGUAUAUAUAAUAAUAUAAGGGUAAAAAACUUAUUAAUAACUGGAGGUCAAGUCUGGUGCCAGCAUCCGCGGUAAUACCAGCUCCAGGGGUGUCUAUGAUGAUUGCUGCGAUUAAAAGGUCCGUAGUCGAAUUUAAAUAAUUGUUUGUAAUAUGUUAGAUAAAAUAAUAAAAAGAACAAUUACUUAAAUGAAAGGAAUAACAAGAGGUUGAUUAAUUGAGUAACGAGAGGUGAAAUUUGAUGACUUACUUAGGAGAAACAGAGGCGAAAGCGUCAAUCAAGUGUAAAUCCGAUGAUCAAGGACGUAGGCUGGAGUAUCGAACACGAUUAGAUACCGUAGUAGUUCCAGCAGUAAACUAUGCCUACGCCAAUAAAUAAAAGUUUAAUGGACGAGAAAUCUAGAGUAGGGCUUUGGGGAGAGUACACGCGCAAGCGAUAAAUUUAAAGG